UACGGAGGGAGCUAGCGUUGUUCGGAAUUACUGGGCGUAAAGCGCGCGUAGGCGGGUUGGUAAGUCCGCUGUGAAAGCCCGGAGCUCAACUCCGGAGGGUCGGUGGAUACUGCCAGUCUUGAAGGUGCUAGGGGGAGAUGGAAUUACCGGUGUAGCGGUGAAAUGCGUAGAGAUCGGUAGGAACACCAGUGGCGAAGGCGGUCUCCUGGGGCAUACUUGACGCUGAGGCGCGAAAGCUGGGGGAGCGAACGGG
rnacentral:rRNA from 1 species